GCACUAGCGCUUUGUCUCCCUAAGUGGCUAACUGAGGUGUGAAAGGGUCUGUGGUGAGUGGACAAAGGAGCACAAAGGGCAAAAGAUGAGGAAAUGGAGGCUUCAAGGUCAAACCCCUUGCCCAGAGACAUGCAGCAGAAAGUGAUGAAGCUGAGAUUUGAACUUGCACCUGUCUGCCUGCAAAUCCCAUCUCUUCCUGCUGUGCCAGAGACAGCAGAAGGGCCCACGGCUGUGUAGAUGUGGCCUAUUAGCCUCUCAAGUCUAGAGCAAGCCCCUCAGUGUGGGGCCCCUCCCUAGCCGCACUUCCUGCCACACCUGUCCUUCAAGCAGCCGCCUUUCUUUAGAACCCCACGUCUACUGUGGUGAUCACUCUGCAUAGCUGCUUUAGAAACAUAUGAAGAUAACAGAAGGAUCUCAUCUGCAACCCAGAGCUCUCUGUGCCUGGUGGUGACUCCCAAGAAGCUCCCAUAAGGAAGAGGUCCCUCAAAGAACACACUGAACACAGUGGACCCUCUGCUGCCAAAACAGGCAGGGAAGCAUCUCCUGGAGCCUGCUUGGUCAGCUCUGCUCUCAGAAGCUUGGAGGGCAAACGGGGGUGACUGGACCCAGCUGGAAUAAUGGAAAGAAUGGGAACUAGCACUUAGAAGCACCUACUGUGUUCCAGAAAUUCUGGUGCAUUUAUCUGUGUAGCCUUCAAAAUAGCUCUGUUGGGUUGAUAGUAUUUUUGCCCCAUGUUAUGGUAUAAGAAACUGAGUUCAGAGAGGUUAGGUAACUUGAAUCAGGCCAUAAAGCACUUAAGCCCAAA
rnacentral:lncRNA from 1 species